rnacentral:tRNA from 1 species
CGGCAUGUUACGAUUUGUCAACUAACUAGCGGACUCAUAAUCCGUUGGUCGUAGGUUCGAAUCCUGUCGGGCCCA